rnacentral:snoRNA from 1 species
AAUCCAUGAUGUGGGCAUUGAGACAAAUAGCCCUUGAACAUAUCCCAAGCUUCACUAAAGCCCUCUAGGUUCUUCUGCUGAAAGCUAGAACUCAUUCCUGAUCUU